AUGCAGCCUGAAGAUGUUGGUGCCGCCAUUCAAUUUUUGGAGUUUUGUCGCUCAUUUGGCGAGAUCUUCCAAAUAAGGAAGGGCCAAUCAGAAAAAAUUGUCAAAGACAUAACUGGAGAUCGUCAACUCCGAGAGGUGUCUUCAGUUGUUGCUGAGCUUCAUGCAAACCUGUUAUCUGUCAUAGAAAACGGCAAUUACAAGCCUUUGAAAUAUCCAAGACAUGGGGAUGCAUGGAUAAGAAAACUCAGGAAAUAUAUCACUGACUCGACAUUACACGCAAAAGAUUUCAUCCUUGAGUACUUAAGCCAUGGGCUAUCUGGAUAUAAAAAUUUGAGCCCUUCUCAUAAGCUGGAUGUGCUGAAUUCUCUGUGUGAUGAGGCAUUAUCAUCUGAAAAGUUGAAGACUAGGAUUGAAGCUAGAGAAUGUGUGGCCAGACAAAAGAUCCGUGCUGCAACCGAGAAGGAAAAGGAGCUAAAAGAAAGACAGAAUGACAUGGCUAAAACAAUGGGAGGAGAAAUCGCUGGCAAUGACGAAGCUAAUAAUAUCUUUUGUCAAAUAAAGGAGGCAAAAGAAGUCAAGCAGGCAGCCAUGAAUGGAAUUAGAGGAACUGGGAUGUGUCCUUAG
rnacentral:rRNA from 1 species